rnacentral:rRNA from 1 species
UGUGGUCAAGUUUCUAAGAGCAAACGGUGGAUGCCUUGGCAUCUGGAGCCGAUGAAGGACGUAGAAAUCUGCGAUAAGCCUCGGGGAGCUGAUAAUCGAGCUGUGAUCCGAGGAUUUCCGAAUGGGGAAACCCCGCCAGGCGUUUUGCGACCUGGUGACUCCCGCCUGAAUAUAUAGGGCGGGUAGAGGGAACGUGGGGAAGUGAAACAUCUCAGUACCCACAGGAAGAGAAAACAACAUGUGAUUCCGUGAGUAGUGGCGAGCGAAAGCGGAUGAGGCUAAACCGAUCAUGUGUGAUAGCCGGCGGGCGUUGCAUGGUCGGGGUUGUGGGACACGUCACUCAGUUCUGCCGGACUGGGACGGUUACAGCGCAUCAUAGUCGAACCGGUUUGAAAGCCGGGCCGUAGUGGGUGCCAGCCCCGUAGACGAAAUGGUGUUAUGGCCGGAUGUGUAUCCCAAGUAGCACGGGGCCCGAGAAAUCCCGUGUGAAUCUGUCAGGACCACCUGAUAAGCCUAAAUACUCCCAGAUGACCGAUAGCGGACAAGUACCGUGAGGGAAAGGUGAAAAGUACCCCGGGAGGGGAGUGAAAUAGUACCUGAAACCGUUUGCUUACAAACCGUCGGAGCCUCCUUAGUAGGGGUGACGGCGUGCCUUUUGAAGAAUGAGCCUGCGAGUUAGUGAUAUGUGGCGAGGUUAACCCGUGAGGGGCAGCCGUAGCGAAAGCGAGUCUGAAUAGGGCGUUUGAGUCGCAUGUUCUAGACCCGAAGCGAAGUGAUCUAUCCAUGGCCAGGUUGAAGCGACGGUAAGACGUCGUGGAGGACCGAACCCACUUCAGUUGAAAAUGGAGGGGAUGAGCUGUGGAUAGGGGUGAAAGGCCAAUCAAACUUCGUGAUAGCUGGUUCUCUCCGAAAUGCAUUUAGGUGCAGCGUUGCGUGUUUCUCGCCGGAGGUAGAGCUACUGGAUGGCCGAUGGGCCUCAACAGGUUACUGACGUCAGCCAAACUCCGAAUGCCGGUGAGUGAGAGCGCAGCAGUGAGACGGUGGGGGAUAAGCUUCAUCGUCGAGAGGGAAACAACCCAGACUACCAACUAAGGUCCCUAAGCGUGUGCUAAGUGGGAAAGGAUGUGGAGUUGCACAGACAACCAGGAGGUUGGCUUAGAAGCAGCCACCCUUGAAAGAGUGCGUAAUAGCUCACUGGUCAAGUGAUUCCGCGCCGACAAUGUAACGGGGCUCAAGCACACCACCGAAGUUGUAGAUUUCGCACUAUAGACAAGCCUUCGUGGUUCAGUCGUGCGG